rnacentral:lncRNA from 1 species
AUGGACAUGGCACCCACAUUGGCACCCUCUGGUCUUGUCCCCACAGGACACCCCUCUGUCAUGGUGAUCAAGACGGCUAGGGGGCAGGGAAGGCGAGAAGAGGGAGGAGACACUGGUGUGACUCAUAGCAAAGUAAGAGCUUCUUCCCUCCUCUCUGCACCCCAAAUACGGCUGCAUUAGAACUAAGCAAGCUAUUGAUACCACACUGACCUAAAAAUAACAAAUGGCGAAGUCAGUGGCCUAGGAGGCUGGAGAAUCUUAACACCAGGUGGCCCAGGGCAUACCCAGAGCUUCUGGCAACCGAAAUCUGGAAAAAGUGGUAACAGUUCCAUCUGGUCAAAUGACAAAAGCCUAAAUUUGUAUCAAGUAGUGGCUGAUAACAGUCAAUUUCUACCUAGAAGGCACUACGUUGGAUCUAGGUGUUCAGGGUUCUUUAAGUCAUGCUCUGAAUGAAUAAGCAAUGAUUCCAAAGUAUGUGAAGCUAGCCUCACAGAUUGAAGUCCUUGAAAUCACACUUUCCAAACAGCUUCAAAUGAAGAACAAGCUCAUACAAACUCAAGAGUGCUUGAUCGAUGAGCAACUCCAGCAAGUGAAGACAUCACAGUCUGGGGCAGUGCAUGGCUGACCCCUUUACCUGUUGAACUAGCUGCUUUGGCCCUUGUUUCAAGGGAAAAGGGCUCUAGAGGAAUUGGGGGUUUGGUCCUCUUAAGGUCUGAGGUCUUUGGGUCUCUGGGUUUGGUCAGGCCCUUAGGGACUGUGGGCUUAGGCUGAGCAAGGGUAGCCUUGGGACAUGUCUCAAACUCUGGUGAAGUCAAGAAAGGCCACAGAGUGGAAAAUCCAGAAUCUACAUCCCAUUCGUGCCAGAGCCCUGUUCCAUCCACUCUCUGAGCAGAUGUCUCCCUACGAAGGCCCAAGGGACUCCUGAAAAGCAGGCACGAAUAGACCGCAGAGUUAAACAGUGCAAGGGCAUGCUGUGGACCCACCCACUUUGGGUAAAUCUUUUGACUUCUCUGUGAAUCAGAAAAUCAAUGGGAUAGACUAUGCCUCACAGGGCCACCCUAGGGAUCGAAUAAGAUGAUGGAUACCAAAGUGCUUCAUUAACAAUAAAGUGCCAAAAAGAGUUA